rnacentral:snRNA from 1 species
GUGCUCACUUUGGCAGCACAUAUACUAAAAUUGGAAUGAUACAGAGAAGAUUAGCAUGGCCCUUGCACAAGGAUGACAUGCAAAUUCAUGAAGCAUUCCACAUUAAA